GACGAACGCUGGCGGCGUGCCUAAUACAUGCAAGUCGAACGCAUUUUCUUUCACCGUCGCUUUCUACACCUAAAGAAAAUGAGUGGCGAACGGGUUAGUAACACUUGGUUAACCUGCCCAUCAGCUGGGGAUAACACUUGGAAACAGGUGCUAAUACCGCAUAAUUCCAUUUACUGCAUUGUAGAUGGGUUAAACUCUCUUUUGCGUCUCUGAUUGAUGGACCCGCGGUGCAUUAUCUAGUUGGUGGUGUAACGGCCUACCAAGGCUGAGAUGCAUAGGCGACCUGAGAGGGUGAUCGGCCACAAUGGGACUGAGAAACGGCCCAGACUUCUAAGGGAGGCAGCAGUAGGGAAUCUUCGGCAAUGGACGCAAGUCUGAACGAGCAAAGCCGCGUGAGUGAAGAAGGGUUUCGGAUCGUAAAAAUCUGUUGUUAGAAAAGAAAAAGGAUGAGAGUGGAAAGUUCAUCCCUUGACGGUAUCUAACCAGAAAGCCACGGCUAACUACGUG
rnacentral:rRNA from 1 species